AUUGAACGCUGGCGGCAUGCCUUACACAUGCAAGUCGAACGGUAACAGGUCUUCGGAUGCUGACGAGUGGCGAACGGGUGAGUAAUACAUCGGAACGUGCCUAGUAGGGGGGGAUAACUACUCGAAAGAGUGGCUAAUACCGCAUGAGAUCUACGGAUGAAAGCAGGGGAUCGCAAGACCUUGCGCUACUAGAGCGGCCGAUGGCAGACAAGGUAGUUGGUGGGAUAAAAGCUUACCAAGCCGACGAUCUGUAGCUGGUCUGAGAGGACGAUCAGCCACACUGGGACUGAGAAACGGCCCAGACUCCUACGGGAGGCAGCAGUGGGGAAUUUUGGACAAUGGGCGCAAGCCUGAUCCAGCAAUGCCGCGUGCAGGAUGAAGGCCUUCGGGUUGUAAACUGCUUUUGUACGGAACGAAAAGCCCCGGGUUAAUACCCUGGGGUCAUGACGGUACCGUAAGAAUAAGCACCGGCUAACUACGUGCCAGCAGUCGCCGUAA
rnacentral:rRNA from 1 species